rnacentral:lncRNA from 1 species
UUUUUUUUUUUGUUUUUUUUUUUUUUUUUUGCUUUUUAGGGCUGCGCCCCCAGCAUAUGGAGGUUCCCAGAAGUCCAGUCAGAGCUAUAGCUGCCAGCCUACGCACCACAACCACACCAGAUCUGAGCCACAUCUGCAACCUACACCACAGCUUAUGGCAUCACCAGAUCCUUAACCUAGUGAGCGAGGCCAGGGAUUGAGCGAGACCAGGAAUCAAACCUACAACCUCAUGGUUCCUAGUCAGAUUGUUUCCACUGUGCCACAACAGGAACUCCUAUUAGUCUCUUGAUUGCAAAUGAAUUUCCAGUAUUCUGCAUUUGUAUCCUCCUCUCUCGACAGUUUCUGGUUUUAGUAGCAUAUUUGUGUAUGGAUGAUUUCCUACCUUUGCAGUAUGUAUGCCUUUACUGGUGAGCUUCGUCAUUUGUAAUGUUUUUAUUUCUGGUUGUGGCCUUUUCUUUUCCACCUAGAGAAGUACCUUUAGUAUUUUUUGUAAAGCUGGUUUAAUGGUGCUGAAUUCUCUUAGCUUUUGCUUAUCUAUGAAGAUUUUGGUUUCUCCUUCAAAUCUGAAUGAGAGUCUUGCUGGGUAGAGUAAUCUUGGUUGGAGGUUUUUUCCUUUCAUCACUUUAAGAAUAUCAUGCCACUCUCUUCUGGCCUGCAGUUUCUGCUAAAAAAAAAUCAGCUGAUAACCUUAUCUGGGUUCCCUGUAUGUUAUUUGUUUUUUUUCCCUAGCUGCUUUCAAUAUUUUCUCUUUAAUUUUGGUCAAUUUGAUUAAUAUGUACCUUGGGUAUUCCUUUUUGGGUUUGUUUUAUGUGGUACUCAUUAUGCUUCCUGGAUUUGAGGGAGUGAUUCCUUUCUCAUGUUAGGGAUGUUUUUGGCUAUUGUCUCUUCAAAUAUUUUUUCUGUCCCUUUUUAUCUUCUCCUUUCAGCACCCUUAUAAUAUUGUAUAUUUUUGGUGCUUUUGUUGUAAAUUAAUUAUGUGUGAGGAUUUAUUUCUGGGCUCUCAAUUCUGUUCCAUUGAUCUGUAUGUCUGUACAAUAUGCUUUGGUUAGUAUGGCUUUGGGAUAUGGUUUGAAACCAAGGAUUGUGAUGCCUCUAAGUUUGUUAUUUCUGAAGACUGUGUAGGCUAUACAGUACCCAUUGUGGUUCCCAUACGUUUUUCAGAUUGUCCCAUUUCUGUGAAAAAUAGCACUGGAAUUUUAUAGGGAUCAUUGAAUCUGUAGUUGCUUUGAGUCCAAUGGACAUUUUGACUAUUUUAAUUCUUCCUAUCCAUUACCUGAGAAUAUCUUUCCAUUUACUUGUGUCUUCAGUUUCUUUCAUUAAUGUCUUAGAGUUUUCAGUGUCAUCUCUGGUUAAACCUAUUCCUAAAUGUUUAAUUUUUUCUUUUUUUUGGCUGCACCCAGGCAUAUGGAGUUCCCAGUCUGGGAUCAGAUCUGAGCUGUAACUGCACAGCUGCCGCAGUACCACAUCCUUUAAUCCACUCAAGGGCAGGGAUCGAACCCGCCACCUCGUGGUUCCUAGCCAGAUUGGUUUUCCUGCGCUACGAUGGGAAGUCCUUUUGAUAAAUUUUUUUUGUGGGUUUUCUAAUUCUACAUUCUUACCUUUACCAGUAUGUUGCAAAUAUAGGUGUUUUCGUAUUACUAGUUUGUGUGUACUCCAUGCAGCAUUAUUUAUAAGGCAGUUUAGAGUUGAUGAUGUCCCUUAGCUUUAAUGAAAGUCUUUAUCACCCCUUUAUUUCUGAAGGAUAGCUUUCUUGGGUCAAGUAUUCUUUUUUGGCAGUUUCUUUCGACACAUGGAAUAUAUCAUCCCACUUUCUCCUGCAUACAAGGUCUCUGCUGAGAAAGUCACUGAGUGUGUCAUUGAUGUUCCCUUAUAUGUGAUUUUUUCCCCCUUUCCUUCCAGCUUUUAAAAAUUCCUUUUUUUGGUAUGGGGGGUGGACUGGCUUUAGACCAUUUUACUAUGUGUCUUAUAGAAGAUCCUUUUGCACUGAAUUUUGAGGUUACGUAUUAGCUUCAGGUACUUGCAUGUCUAAAUCUCCCCAGAUAUGGGAAGUUCUUAGCCAUUCUUUCUUUCAUCUUUUUACCCUUCUCCCUCUAGUCUUCUUUUGGGACUCCAAGGAUGUGUACAUUAUUUCUCUUGGUGGUGUCCUUUAAGGCCUGUAAAGUAUGCUUUCUUCAUUCUUUUUCAUUUUUUUUUCUCCUCUGAUUGGACUGUUUCAGUUGAUCUGUCUUUGGGCUCACUGAUUCUUCUGGUUGCUUGAGUCAGCUACUGAAUUCUUUAUUUCACUUAGAGCAUUCUUUAGUUCCAAAAUUUUUUUUUUUGGGGGGGUGUCUCUUUUACAUUCUCUAUCUUUGCUGAACUCUUCAUUUUGUUUGUGUAUGGUUUUCCUAGUAUCUUUGGAUUGUUUAUACUCUCCAUUUUUAGAAAAUCUCUUGGAGUUUUCUUGUGGCACAGCAGGUAAAGGAUCUGGCGUUGUCACUGCAGUAGCUUGGGUCACUGCUAUGGUGUGUAUUUGAUCCCUGGCCUUGGAAUGUCCACAUGCUGUACGCUCAACCAAAAAAAAAAAAAA